rnacentral:lncRNA from 1 species
AAAAAUCUAAAACAAAAAAUGAUGGAAUGAAUUAGUAAAGUGAUAAUGUGGAAUUGUUGUUAUAGAAAUGAGAGAAUGGAGGUUGCAAGUUGUAACACACAACCCCCUCAGUAAGAAAUUCCCUUUAAAAAUGGUUGAAGCAUGGGGAGGUGUUGUAAUAUAAGUCUAAACAAAUUAAGAGAAAUGGAACACUCGCCACAUGAAAAUGCAAGUAUAUUAGAGUGAGAAUUUGACCAAGGUUUGUUUGAACUUUAUUUUUCUUUGGAAUUUAUUUUAAUCAAAUUUCAUAUAUUAUUCAAUUAUAUUUGUUUAACACAAAGUGUUGUGUUAUAGUAUAUACUGGAAACCAGAGUUUACACAAGAGAACUAGAGACUCUCAAGAGAGAUCAGGAUUCAGGAAUGCAAUUAGUGGAAGCUAUUCUAUGUAAUUAUUAUUCUUCCACACUUCUAAUUUUAGUUUAAUUAAUAUUUAAAAUCAUGCAUGCUGAGGGAUAUGAAUGUAUGUCACUAUUUAAAAAUUUAUAAAGAAGUUAUAUAUAUAAUAUAAAGUUUGGGUAAAUGGAAAUUAAUUUUGAUUGUUAAAUAUGAGUGUUG